rnacentral:rRNA from 1 species
AACGAACGCUGGCGGCAUGCCUAACACAUGCAAGUCGAACGAGACCUUCGGGUCUAGUGGCGCACGGGUGCGUAACGCGUGGGAACCUGCCCUUAGGUUCGGAAUAACUCCCCGAAAGGGGUGCUAAUACCGGAUAAUGUCUUCGGACCAAAGAUUUAUCGCCUUUGGAUGGGCCCGCGUUGGAUUAGCUAGUUGGUAGGGUAAAAGCCUACCAAGGCGACGAUCCAUAGCUGGUCUGAGAGGAUGAUCAGCCACACUGGGACUGAGACACGGCCCAGACUCCUACGGGAGGCAGCAGUGGGGAAUAUUGGACAAUGGGCGAAAGCCUGAUCCAGCAGUGCCGCGUGAGUGAUGAAGGCCGUAGGGUUGUAAAGCUCUUUUACCCGGGAUGAUAAUGACAGUACCGGGAGAAUAAGCUCCGGCUAACUCCGUG